rnacentral:rRNA from 1 species
UGCAGUCGAGCGGAUGACAGGAGCUUGCUCCUGAAUUCAGCGGCGGACGGGUGAGUAAUGCCUAGGAAUCUGCCUGGUAGUGGGGGACAACGUUUCGAAAGGAACGCUAAUACCGCAUACGUCCUACGGGAGAAAGCAGGGGACCUUCGGGCCUUGCGCUAUCAGAUGAGCCUAGGUCGGAUUAGCUAGUUGGUGAGGUAAUGGCUCACCAAGGCGACGAUCCGUAACUGGUCUGAGAGGAUGAUCAGUCACACUGGAACUGAGACACGGUCCAGACUCCUACGGGAGGCAGCAGUGGGGAAUAUUGGACAAUGGGCGAAAGCCUGAUCCAGCCAUGCCGCGUGUGUGAAGAAGGUCUUCGGAUUGUAAAGCACUUUAAGUUGGGAGGAAGGGCAUUAACCUAAUACGUUAGUGUUUUGACGUUACCGACAGAAUAAGCACCGGCUAACUCUGUGCCAGCAGCCGCGGUAAUACAGAGGGUGCAAGCGUUAAUCGGAAUUACUGGGCGUAAAGCGCGCGUAGGUGGUUUGUUAAGUUGGAUGUGAAAUCCCCGGGCUCAACCUGGGAACUGCAUUCAAAACUGACAAGCUAGAGUAUGGUAGAGGGUGGUGGAAUUUCCUGUGUAGCGGUGAAAUGCGUAGAUAUAGGAAGGAACACCAGUGGCGAAGGCGACCACCUG